CCUACGGGAGGCAGCAGUGAGGAAUAUUGGUCAAUGGGCGUAAGCCUGAACCAGCCAAGUCGCGUGAGGGAUGAAGGUUCUAUGGGUCGUAAACCUCUUUUAUAAGGGAAUAAAGUGUGGGACGUGUCCUGUUUUGUAUGUACCUUAUGAAUAAGGAUCGGCUAACUCCGUGCCAGCAGCCGCGGUAAUACGGAGGAUCCGAGCGUUAUCCGGAUUUAUUGGGUUUAAAGGGUGCGUAGGCGGCCUUUUAAGUCAGCGGUGAAAGUCUGUGGCUCAACCAUAGAAUUGCCGUUGAAACUGGGAGGCUUGAGUAUGUUUGAGGCAGGCGGAAUGCGUGGUGUAGCGGUGAAAUGCUUAGAUGUCACGCAGAACCCCGAUGGCGAAGGCAGCCUGCCAAGCCAUGACUGACGCUGAUGCACGAAAGCGUGGGGAUCAAACAGGAUUAGAUACCCGGGUAGUC
rnacentral:rRNA from 1 species